rnacentral:rRNA from 1 species
UACGUAGGGGGCGAGCGUUGUCCGGAGUUACUGGGCGUAAAGGGCACGCAGGCGGUCUGCUAAGUUUGGAGUGACAGUACCCGGCUCAACCGGGUGAGGCCUUCAAAGACUGGUGGACUUGAGGACUAGAGAGGGACAUAGAAUUCCGGGUGGAGUGGUGAAAUGCGUAGAUAUCCGGAGGAAUACCGAUGGCGAAGGCAGCCCCCUGGGUCAAUACUGACGCUCAUGCACGAAAGCGUGGGGAGCAAACAGG